rnacentral:rRNA from 1 species
AUUGAACGCUGGCGGCAUGCCUUACACAUGCCAGUCGAACGGCAGCACGGGUGCUUGCACCUGGUGGCGAGUGGCGAACGGGUGAGUAAUACAUCGGAACAUGUCCUGUAGUGGGGGAUAGCCCGGCGAAAGCCGGAUUAAUACCGCAUACGAUCGACGGAUGAAAGCGGGGGACCUUCGGGCCUCGCGCUAUAGGGUUGGCCGAUGGCUGAUUAGCUAGUUGGUGGGGUAAAGGCCUACCAAGGCGACGAUCAGUAGCUGGUCUGAGAGGACGACCAGCCACACUGGGACUGAGACACGGCCCAGACUCCUACGGGAGGCAGCAGUGGGGAAUUUUGGACAAUGGGCGAAAGCCUGAUCCAGCAAUGCCGCGUGUGUGAAGAAGGCCUUCGGGUUGUAAAGCACUUUUGUCCGGAAAGAAAUCCUUGGCUCUAAUACAGUCGGGGGAUGACGGUACCGGAAGAAUAAGCACCGGCUAACUACGUG